ACGCGAAGAACCUUACCUGGACUCGAAAUCUAGUUGACAGUCUCAGAGAUGAGAUCUUCCCGCAAGGGACGGCUGGAUAGGUGCUGCAUGGCUGUCGUCAGCUCGUGUCGUGAGAUGUUGGGUUAAGUCCCGCAACGAGCGCAACCCUUACCCUUAGUUGCUAAUCCGCAAGGAAAGCACCCUAAGGGAACUGCCUCGGAUAACGAGGAGGAAGGUGGGGAUGACGUCAAGUCCUCAUGGCCUUUAUGCCCAGGGCUACACACGUGCUACAAUGGCCGGUACAAACCGUCGCAAACCCGCGAGGGGGAGCCAAUCGGAAAAAACCGGUCUCAGUUCGGAUUGCAGGCUGCAACUCGCCUGCAUGAAGCUGGAAUCGCUAGUAAUCGCGGAUCAGAACGCCGCGGUGAAUACGUUCCCGGGCCUUGUA
rnacentral:rRNA from 1 species